UACGGAGGGGGCUAGCGUUGUUCGGAAUUACUGGGCGUAAAGCGCGCGUAGGCGGACCUGCAAGUCGGGGUGAAAACUCGAGGCUCAACCUCGAGACGUCGGUUGAAACCAUCUGGCUAGAGUCCGGAAGAGGAGUGUGGAAUUCCCGGUGUAGCGGUGAAAUGCGCAGAUAUCGGGAAGAACACCCGUGGCGAAGGCGGCACUCUGGGACGGUACUGACGCUGAGACGCGAAAGCGUGGGAGCGAACGAGGA
rnacentral:rRNA from 1 species